AUUGAACGCUGGCGGCAGGCUUAACACAUGCAAGUCGAGCGGAGAUGAGGUGCUUGCACCUUAGCUUAGCGGCGGACGGGUGAGUAAUGCUUAGGAAUCUGCCUAUUAGUGGGGGACAACAUUCCGAAAGGAAUGCUAAUACCGCAUACGUCCUACGGGAGAAAGCAGGGGGUCAUCGGAGCUUGCGCUAAUAGAUGAGCCUAAGUCGGAAUAGCUAGUUGGUGGGGUAGAGGCCGACCAAGGCGACGAUCUGUAGCGGGUCAGAGAGGAUGGUCCGAGACGGCGUGACUGCGAGACGUCCCAGACUCCUACGGGGGGCAGCAGUGGGGAAUAUUGGACAAUGGGGGGCACCCUUAUCUAGCCAUGCCGCGUGUGCGAAGAAGGCCUUAUCGUUGUAAAGCACUUUAAGCUAGGAAGAGGCUACUGAGACUACUACUCUUGGUUAGUGGACGUUACUCGCAGAAUAAGCACCGGCUAACUCUGUGCCAGCAGCCGCAGUAACAC
rnacentral:rRNA from 1 species